GACGAACGCUGGCGGCGUGCUUAACACAUGCAAGUCGAACGGAAAGGCCCUGCUCUUGUGGGGUGCUCGAGUGGCGAACGGGUGAGUAACACGUGAGUAACCUGCCCUUGACUUUGGGAUAACUUCAGGAAACUGGGGCUAAUACCGGAUAGGAGCUCCUGCUGCAUGGUGGGGGUUGGAAAGUUUCGGCGGUUGGGGAUGGACUCGCGGCUUAUCAGCUUGUUGGUGGGGUAGUGGCUUACCAAGGCUUUGACGGGUAGCCGGCCUGAGAGGGUGACCGGCCACAUUGGGACUGCGAUACGGCCCAGACUCCUACGGGAGGCAGCAGUGGGGAAUAUUGCACAAUGGGCGGAAGCCUGAUGCAGCAACGCCGCGUGCGGGAUGACGGCCUUCGGGUUGUAAACCGCUUUCGCCUGUGACGAAGCGUGAGUGACGGUAAUGGGUAAAGAAGCACCGGCUAACUACGUG
rnacentral:rRNA from 1 species